rnacentral:rRNA from 1 species
CCUACGGGUGGCAGCAGUGGGGAAUAUUGGACAAUGGGCGAAAGCCUGAUCCAGCCAUGCCGCGUGUGUGAAGAAGGCCUUCGGGUUGUAAAGCACUUUCAGUGGGGAAGAAAGCCUUGGGGCUAAUACCCUCGAGGAAGGACAUCACCCACAGAAGAAGCACCGGCUAACUCCGUGCCAGCAGCCGCGGUAAUACGGAGGGUGCGAGCGUUAAUCGGAAUUACUGGGCGUAAAGCGCGCGUAGGCGGUCUGAUAAGCCGGUUGUGAAAGCCCCGGGCUCAACCUGGGAACGGCAUCCGGAACUGUCAGGCUAGAGUGCAGGAGAGGAAGGUAGAAUUCCCGGUGUAGCGUUGAAAUGCGUAGAGAUCGGGAGGAAUACCAGUGGCGAAGGCGGCCUUCUGGACUGACACUGACGCUGAGGUGCGAAAGCGUGGGUAGCAAACAGGAUUAGAUACCCGGGUAGUC